AUCAGAGAAGGGUGUGGACUCUGAGCCUCAGAAACAGGAGCUGAUAGAGAAGAACCAAAUGUGAUGUCAAGUGUGCAGACAGAUUCCUGGAGCAAGAGUGAAGAGAUCAAGGUCCCAUCAUUGGGACACUUAGAGCUCCUCAUGCAGUUGACUUACCCAAUGGUGUUGGGUGGCUGAGAGGAUGCAGCUUCUUGGGACUCUGCAACUGAUGGCUGCAAGCCCUCAACAUCAGUGUUCAGAAGCAGAUUUAGGCAGACCGCCACACCUUACAUCCUGGAGGGAUCCAACUCUGACUUAAGCCGCUGCAAAAUGGAAAGAAAAUCAUACCAUCUAACUCCCAGGAAUGUUGUGGGAAAUAUGCAAGAUUGAAAAAGUACCAGCAUUCAGGAAAGUUUUGUUCAAUAGGAGAACAACACAAUCCAGCUGUGAGUGCCUGGUGACAUCAUGAUGGAUAAUGGCUGGGAGGAGAGUAAGGGAAACUUGAGAGGCUGUGCAUAUCCUCAAUGAGACAGACAGAGAUUGCUGUUCUGGACAAAGCCAGCUAUAGAUGGAACCAAGAAGAACAACCAAACCAGUUAUACAGAGCAAAUAAUACUUUUCACUGGAGAAAAGUCAGAAAUUAGAGUUCUGUGCCGUCUAGUGAACAUAUCCAGACUGGCAGCUGGGAUGUCACUUAGCAGGAUGCUUUGGAAGGAGGGACCAAGGUCCCCAUCAGAGGAAACUUUCUGGAAGAUUUUGUGGCAAAUGAAGCCU